rnacentral:rRNA from 1 species
CUCCAGACUCCUACGGGAGGCAGCAGUGGGGAAUAUUGGGCAAUGGGCGCAAGCCUGACCCAGCAACGCCGCGUGAAGGAAGAAGACUUUCGGGUUGUAAACUUCUUUUGACAGGGAAGAGCAGAAGACGGUACCUGUCGAAUAAGCCACGGCUAACUACGUGCCAGCAGCCGCGGUAAUACGUAGGUGGCAAGCGUUGUCCGGAUUUACUGGGUUUAAAGGGUGCGUAGGCGGCAUUAUAAGUUAGUGGGAAAAUAUUGGGGCUUCACCUCACUACGCCAUUAAUACUGUAGAGCUAGAGAACAGACGAGGUAGGCGGAAUAAGUUAAGUAGCGGUGAAAUGCAUAGAUAUAACUUAGAACACCGAUAGCGAAGGCAGCUUACCAGACUGAGUCUGACGCUGAUGCACGAGAGCAUGGGUAGCGAACAGGAUUAGAUACCCGCGUA